CUGGACUUAAACCCCAAAUAUAAAGUUUAUACUUUUUUUAGAA
rnacentral:tRNA from 1 species